rnacentral:rRNA from 1 species
CCUAGGGGCGCACCAGUGAGGAAUAUUGCACAAUGGGGGGAACCCUGAUGCAGCAACGCCGCGUGGAGGAUGACGCAUUUCGGUGUGUAAACUCCUUUUAUAUGUCAAGAAAAUGACGGUAGCAUAUGAAUAAGCACCGGCUAACUCCGUGCCAGCAGCCGCGGUAAUACGGAGGGUGCAAGCGUUACUCGGAAUCACUGGGCGUAAAGGACGCGUAGGCGGGUUGGAAAGUCAGGUGUGAAAUCCUACAGCUUAACUGUAGAACUGCACUUGAAACUUCUAAUCUAGAGUAUGGGAGGGGGAGAUGGAAUUAGUGGUGUAGGGGUAAAAUCCGUAGAUAUCACUAGGAAUACCUAAAGCGAAGGCGAUCUCCUGGAACAUUACUGACGCUAAGGCGUGAAAGCGUGGGGAGCAAACAGGAUUAGAUACCCCAGUAGUC